UACCCUUGUAGUCCACGCCCUAAACGAUGGACACUAGCUAUAUGAAGUGUCGACCCUUCAUGUGGCGAAGCUAACGCGUUAAGUGUCCCGCCUGGGAAGUACGGCCGCAAGGCUAAAACUCAAAGGAAUAGACGGGGACUCACACAAGCGGUGGACCAUGUGGCUUAAUUCGACAACAAGCGAAGAACCUUACCAGGGCUUGAAAUCCGCAUGAUCGUUCCGUGAAAGCGGGACUUCCUCACAAGGCAGGCGGACAGGUGCUGCAUGGCUGUCGUCAGCAUGUAUCUUGAGACGCUCCCUUAAAUGGGGGAACAUGCGCAACCCCUAUCACGCGUUUUAAGUGUCGCGUGAAACUGCCCGGGAUAACUGGGAGGAAGGCGGGGAUGACGCCAAGUCAGCAUGGCCCUCUGACGCCCUGGGCUGCACACGUGGUACAAUGGAGCCGACAAUGCGUUUGCCAAGCCGCAAGGCGGAGCUAACCGCACCAAACGGUUCCCCAGUUCGGAUUGAGGUCUGAAACCCGACCUCAUGAAGCCGGAAUCGCUAGUAAUCGCGAAUCAGCCAUGUCGCGAUGAAUACGUUCCUGAGUCUUGUACUCACCGCCCGUCACGCCAAGCGAGCUGAGAGUACCCGAAACCCCCGAUUUAUCGGGGUCUAAGGUAAGUUCAGUGAGAGAGGCGAAGUCGUAACAAGGCACGCGUAGCGGAAGCUGUGCGUGGAACA
rnacentral:rRNA from 1 species